GGUGCCCGCCGAAAGUUCGGGGCCACGUGGGGCGGGAGUGGGGCGGCCGCGGGGGCAGCGCGUCCCGCAGUCGCUCCGGGAGCUCCGCCGCGCUCGGCUGCUGCUUCCCCGCCCUCCUCCGCCAUGGCCCCCGCCGAGAUCCUCAGCGGAAAGAUUGUCUCCGCGCAAGUGAGAGACAGACUGAAGCAGCAAGUUCUUGAGAUGAAAGAGAAAUUUCCAGGCUUCAGACCGGGACUCGCAAUUUUGCAGGUUGGAAAUCGGGAUGAUUCGAACCUCUACAUCAAUAUGAAGCUGAAGGCUGCUGCUGAGAUUGGGAUCAGUGCCAAUCACAUAAAGCUGCCAAACACAGCAACAGAAGCUGAUGUGCUCAAGUGCAUUGCCUCUUUGAAUGCAGACCCUGCUGUUCAUGGCUUUAUAGUGCAGCUGCCACUCGACUCCGACAAACCCAUCAACACGGAAAAGAUAACCAAUGCUGUUGCACCUGAGAAGGAUGUGGAUGGCUUAAGUAGCAUCAAUGCUGGGAAACUCUCUAGAGGGGACCUCGGAGACUGCUUUAUUCCGUGCACGCCAAAGGGAUGCAUGGAACUUAUCAGGCAGACAGGUGUCCAGGUCACAGGGAAAAGAGCCGUAGUGAUCGGUCGCAGUAAGAUCGUUGGUGCUCCCAUGCACGACCUGCUGCUCUGGAAUAACGCCACCGUCACCACCUGCCAUUCCAAGACCUCCACCCUGGCUGAGGAGGUUGGCAAAGCUGAUAUCCUGGUGGUUGCAGCUGGUAAAGCUGAAAUGGUAAAAGGUGAAUGGAUCAAGCCUGGAGCAAUUGUAAUAGACUGUGGAAUUAACCAUGUGCCAGACAGCACAAAGGCCAGUGGAAAAAGAGUUGUGGGAGAUGUGGCGUACAAUACAGCAAAGGAAAAAGCUUCCUACAUCACCCCAGUUCCUGGUGGCGUUGGGCCCAUGACUGUGGCCAUGUUAAUGCAGAGCACAGUGGAGAGUGCACAGCGUUUUCUGGAGAAGUUCCAGCCUGGAAAAUGGACCAUCCAAUACAACCAGCUUAACCUAAAGAUGCCUGUUCCAAGUGAUAUUGAGAUCUCACGGUCUUGUGUACCCAAACCCAUUGAACAAGUUGCGAGUGAAGUUGGCCUGCUCCCUGAUGAGGUGGAGCCCUAUGGCCAAACCAAAGCCAAGGUCCAGCUGUCAGCUCUGAAUCGUCUGAAGAACCAGCCAGAUGGCAAAUACGUUGUUGUUACUGGGAUAACUCCCACUCCCCUGGGAGAGGGGAAGAGCACCACCACUGUUGGCCUUGUUCAAGCCUUGGGAGCUCACCUUCACCAGAAUGUCUUUGCCUGUGUUCGGCAGCCUUCUCAGGGGCCAACUUUUGGUAUAAAAGGUGGAGCUGCAGGUGGUGGCUACUGUCAGGUUGUCCCCAUGGAAGAGUUUAACCUUCACCUCACUGGUGACAUCCAUGCUAUCACUGCAGCCAACAACCUGGUCGCUGCUGCUAUUGACGCACGUAUGUUCCACGAGCUCACUCAGUCUGACCAGGCUCUCUACAACCGUUUGGUGCCUUCUGUCAACGGUGUUAGGAAGUUCUCAGACAUUCAGAUCCGAAGACUACAGAAACUGGGCAUUAACAAAACCGAUCCUGCAGCUUUGACAAAGGAAGAAAUAAAUGCAUUUGUGAGAUUGGACAUCGACCCAGGCACCAUAACAUGGCAAAGAGUACUGGAUACAAAUGACAGGUUCCUUAGGAAAAUCACUAUUGGACAGUCUCCAACAGAGAAAGGCUUCUCACGAACGGCUCAGUUUGACAUCACUGUGAGCAGUGAAAUCAUGGCAGUCCUAGCGCUGGCUGAUGGGCUGGAUGAUAUGAAAAAGCGAUUCGGCAGAAUGGUUGUAGCCUCCAGCAAGAAAGGACAGCCAGUUACAGCAGAUGACCUUGGAGUGACUGGAGCUCUGGCUGUCUUGAUGAAAGAUGCUAUUAAGCCAAACCUCAUGCAGACUCUAGAGGGAACACCAGUGUUUGUUCAUGCUGGACCUUUUGCCAAUAUUGCACAUGGGAAUUCCUCUGUGUUGGCAGACAAAAUAGCACUGAAGCUUGUGGGUAAAGAUGGUUUUGUUGUUACAGAAGCAGGAUUCGGUGCAGACAUAGGCAUGGAGAAAUUCUUUGAUAUUAAGUGCCGCUACUCUGGUCUCCGGCCUCACGUGGUGGUGUUGGUUGCUACUGUCCGAGCUCUGAAAAUGCAUGGAGGAGGGCCUACAGUCACUGCUGGGGUACCUUUACCGAAGGAAUACACAGAAGAGAACCUUCAACUGUUGGCAAAGGGCUGCAGUAAUCUAAACAAGCAAAUCCAAAAUGCACGGCUGUUUGGUGUCCCAGUAGUUGUGGCUGUCAAUGCUUCAAGACGGAUACAAAGGCUGAACUGGCCCUUGUGGUACAAAAGGCGAAGGAGGCAGGAGCAUUUGAUGCUGUAGAGUGCACUCACUGGGCAGAGGGAGGGAAAGGAGCGCUGGCACUGGCCCAAGCUGUUCAGAGAGCAUCCCAGGCACCCAGCAACUUCAGGUUCCUCUAUAACUUGGAGCUCCCUGUUGUAGAUAAGAUCAGGCUUAUUGCCCAGCAGGUCUAUGGGGCAAGAGACAUUGAGCUACUUGAAGAAGCCCAGGAGAAAGUCACCAUCUACACUAAGCAAGGAUUUGGAAACCUGCCAAUCUGCAUGGCUAAAACUCACUUAUCGUUGUCUCAUGACCCUGAACAAAAAGGAGCACCUACGGGUUUUGUUCUGCCGAUCCGGGACAUUCGGGCCAGUGUUGGAGCUGGAUUCCUGUAUCCACUAGUGGGAACGAUGAGCACUAUGCCAGGACUUCCUACAAGACCCUGUUUCUAUGACAUAGACUUGGACCCAGUGUCAGGAGGAGUAAAUGGGCUCUUCUGAAAGGAAUAAUUAACCAAAGCUCCCAGAAGAACACCUGAUGAAUCAUGUAAAUGGAACUUGUGCCCUGAUCUUUUUUUAAGUCAGAACAAGAUAUGACUGAGAAUGUAGUGAAAGAACUGACUGGAAGGAGGAGUGCUGAAGAAUCGACCACUAACUUUUAAUCUGUAAUAAUUUUUGUACUGCUGCAUUCCAAGCUAGUCCACACUGAGCAUAUAAACCGUACUUCCUCCACAGACCUCCCGCUUCUAAAUUGUAGCUGAAGCAGAAUACAGAAGCUUGGGUUUAGUGACCUCUUUUGAUUCAGUGACAUGAUUUUAAUAAUUAAAAAUCCUAAAGCUGGAGCUCUUUGAAACAGUGUUGGGACUUAAUUGUCUUAACCAUAGGGGUUUUGUAGCAUAUAUUAUCUUUGAAAGCCUUGUACGCUGCCGUUUCCCACUUGCCAUCCUGAGUUCUCUGUUCCACUUCUCGCACUGAGGGGGGAACCACUGUGCUCUGAAACUGCGCCAAUGUCAUUUAAAAGAGGGAGCAGGGAGGAAUCCCCUUCGCUCCUCAUCUCUCUCCAGAAGUGCUUGCCCUGCCUUCUGCUAUGAAUCAUUCCUGCAGGCACCUGAGCCACGUCAGAUUUCCCUGUUAGAAAGCCCAGCUGUGACUGCUAUAUUUUACUGCUAAUGGAAUGAAACCUCUGGAUAUCAGAGGUGAAGGGACUGGAUCUCUGGCCCAUAACUGUGUCUGUACCAACUGUGUCUUUUGACCCAUUUUAUGCUCAACAAUAAGUGCAGUUACACCACUGAUAAGCCUUUUUUCCAAAGGUACCUUUUUGGUGAAGAGAGACAAUGCAAAUAGUGAUCAAGUGAGUGGUAGCAGGUUUUGUCCACAGGCCAAAAAUCAUUUUGUAACAUGAAGAUAAGUGUUGCUACUGAUUUUUUAAACUAAUAUGAAUAACUGGCAAAUACUUCAA